rnacentral:rRNA from 1 species
CACUGCCUACGAGGGGCAGCAGUGAGGAAUAUUGGUCAAUGGCCGGAAGGCUGAACCAGCCAAGCCGCGUGAAGGACGAAGGUGCCAAGCAUUGUAAACUUCUUUUGUCAAGGGACGAAAUCAGGCUCGAGAGCCUGACCGAGGGUACUUGAAGAAUAAGCCACGGCUAACUACGUGCCAGCAGCCGCGGUAAUACGUAGGUGGCAAGCGUUAUCCGGAUUUAUUGGGUGUAAAGGGCGUGUAGGCGGGAAUGCAAGUCAGAUGUGAAAACUAUGGG